AGGAGGCUAAAAUUUCACCUUUCCCACACAGUUUCACGAGAUAAAAUAGGGUAAAAUAUCACUUGAAAUAAGCGCCUCAUUUUCCCGCCCACAGAAAUUCUAACUCCCGCGCCAAAGUUGAUAAUCAGUCAAAGCCCGCGUGGAAAAAAAAAAAAAAAUUCCCUUUUCAUUUAGACGAACCCUAGCGGCUUUUAUCUGUAUUUGCUCUCCAGCGCAACCAGUCCCCAUUACCAAAGGCCUUUGUCUCUUUUUCACAGCAACAGCUUCUGAACCCACCAUACCCAUCGGAGAAAUUGAGCUUCAACGGAGUAGUCUACACUUAGUUUCUACUCAACCCAAAGGUUCCUACUCAAAUUUCCCUAUUGGCUGACAAAUUCGACCCAGACCAAGGCUCUAAUCAGUUUCUUUCUUCCUUCAUUUCUGCGAGGUUGAAGUCAGAGAGUUGAGAGAGAAACCAUCUCAAACUAUUCCGACCCAGACCAAGGCAGAGCUAUAUCUUCAACUCUCUCUCUACCCUCUAAGGAUCUGAACGCACAUUAAUUCUUCAGGGCAGAAUUGUUCUCGGAAUCUUAACGAAAUCAUACACCAUUCAAACACGAAUCUCUUGACUUUGAAGAAGAUACGGAUCAAGUAACUGCUUGGUUUGUACCAUGGACAAUGAGGUGAAGGAAGUGUCUGAAAAAUUGAAAGUCAACUUCUGCUGAUGAUUAAAGAACAAUGUGAAGAUUGACUUAUUAAUGUAUUUUUGACAGACAAUGGAUUUUCUUUUGCAAUUUGGCACAUUGAACUAUGAUGAAUUGUCUUUUGAUAUGUUUAAUGGUAUAUGAAUUGUUGAAUUA